CUAAGGACAUAAAGGGAGCAGGAGAUCGAAGGCAGUGAGAUUACACACAAAACAAAGGCAACAACAUAGCUUAAUAAAUUCGUAAAGUAGGAGGUAGCGGGUGGUACCUGAAUAUUGUUUUUUUUACAUUCAACUGUCGCCGAUGUUACGGAUGUGAUGUUAAAGUCUGCGUUCUCACGGUUUUGUGCUCGAACAAAACAAAACAAUCCAUGGCGCUAAACCUCAGUCCCACUCCACAUCGUUAGGGGGCAGCAACACCGCGCCCAGACACCAUUUUGUCGGUUUCCGGAAACAGAGGAUUGUGGGUAUAAUCUCUUACACAAAAGCUAGGCGUUUGCGUUGUUUGAACGUAUUUCAUGUUCGAGUGGCCACCUCAGCAGCUGUGUCGUUUUGACCUCCGAGUACUUUUACAUUUUUUUUUUGCUAUUUCUUAGCUAUCAAAUUUUUUUAAAAGGACGUUUUAUUUUGAAGAGAGGACAUUCCUGCUGAUUUUAAUAGUUUUUUGAUCAAGAAAAUCUACUUUCUAUAGAAGAAAAACUAAAAGCGCCAAGUCAUCCACUCGGUCCGAAGCUAUUUUAUUCAUCUUUACAUGUUUUUUUGGUCGGACAUGUGUUACGAAGUAAUGGAUGCCAGGUCGAAAUACGUUAAACAGGAGUGCUCGCUGCGUAAAAUCGUGAAUCCCGGAGCGAAGUUAAGAUGGCGGGUCCUCUGCUCCACAGAGGCCGGUAAAGUGUGCCAGACCGCGGUGAAACGGUCAACCAUCAGGAACUACUACCACAGCGAGCAGAAGCGGGCGAAAAAAGUCGCUAAAAUCAAGGGGAUUGUGAACAAGAAAUCGAAAGCGGUCGAGGGAAGUCCCGCACCACGAGGAGCAAUGGCGCCGGAGAACACUACGCAGUACUUGAUGAGUAAUGUGUACGACGACAUGACAGCGACUGACGCUGAAUCUGAAUUUCUUGCUUCAAAUGACAACUGUGCACAUGUAUACAGGGAUUCCAUGUCGCCUACGAGUGUGUACUCGGCUCUGGACUCCGGUUUCGAUGAAAGUUGCCUCGCUUUUCAACAGAGGGACUUCGACGAAAUGUUUGACCUGUGUUGGUAAACCGGGAUGAACUGGUCUACGUGGCCUUCUUGAACUGGUCCGGCUGCCUGUGCCAUCACUGACUUUUACAUGCGGACAAAUACAAAGCGGCGCACUGGUCGCUGCCCGCCCACUAGGGAGCGCUCCUGAGCCUUGUGCUGCGCCGCCUGGUGGAACGAACCAAACGCACCUCGGCUCUGCUCAGGCCACGGCCGGUGAAAUCCAGGUAAACCCGGGCAGGUAUCUCUGUGUUGCACCACAUAAUCGCCGAUGGCAGUAGUGAUGAUGUGAAUGGAGAGUGCUUUCCACAGUUACUGUUGUCUGAGCGUUUUCCAGGUUCGACUCCUGACAGGACACGUGACUCGGCUGAGAGGAGCCAGGAGACCAAGGAGGUCUGCCGUCACGUGACUCUGACAUCAGGUGACAUGCCAGUGUCCAAUGGUUUAUUGAUUUGUUUUAAAGAUCAUUGACCAAAUAAGUGUAUAGUCCUGACAAAACUGUUGUAUAAAAGUGUAUUUAAUCUGGAAUUGAUUUUUAUAUUGAGGGUAAUUAUGACAUGUUCAGUAAAGGAGCUUUGUUAAAAGUGAAAUAGAGCCUUGUUCUGGUGUGGGUUUUUUUUUUAAAUAUAAAUAAGCAUGAACUAAUUUUAUUGAGUAUAAAUCAUAAACCUGUAUAAAUUGAAGAUUAAAACAGUUUUAAUUUGCCAUUAAGCCUAGGUAAGUCAUGCUAUGCUAGUUUUGAUCACCCAUUUGUUCCUUGACACUUCUAACAAUGUGUGUUGGAUGGAAGGGGUAAAAAAUACCCACUAUAUCGAUAUAAGUAACAUAAAUGUGGAUCCCUGGUUGAGUGUCACUGAUUUCUUGAAAGAAAAAAUAAAAUUAAUAUUUAAAAUAAAA